rnacentral:rRNA from 1 species
UACGUAGGGGGCAAGCGUUGUCCGGAAUCAUUGGGCGUAAAGGGUGCGUAGGCGGUCGCGCAAGUCGGAUGUGAAAUCUCAGGGCUCAACCCUGAAACUGCAUUCGAUACUGCGUGGCUAGAGUGCUGGAGGGGAGACUGGAAUUUACGGUGUAGCAGUGAAAUGCGUAGAUAUCGUAAGGAAGACCAGUGGCGAAGGCGAGUCUCUGGACAGCAACUGACGCUGAGGCACGAAGGCCAGGGGAGCAAACGGG